UAGGGAAUCUUCGGCAAUGGGGGGAACCCUGACCGAGCAACGCCGCGUGAGUGAAGAAGGUUUUCGGAUCGUAAAGCUCUGUUGUUAAGGAAGAACGAGUGUGAGAAUGGAAAGUUCAUGCUGUGACGGUACUUAACCAGAAAGGGACGGCUAACUACGUGCCAGCAGCCGCGGUAAUACGUAGGUCCCGAGCGUUGUCCGGAUUUAUUGGGCGUAAAGCGAGCGCAGGCGGUUAGAAAAGUCUGAAGUGAAAGGCAGUGGCUCAACCAUUGUAGGCUUUGGAAACUGUUUAACUUGAGUGCAGAAGGGGAGAGUGGAAUUCCAUGUGUAGCGGUGAAAUGCGAAGAUAUAUGGAGGAACACCGGUGGCGAAAGCGGCUCUCUGGUCUGUAACUGACGCUGAGGCUCGAAAGCGUGGGGAGCGAACAGG
rnacentral:rRNA from 1 species